UACAGAGGUCUCAAGCGUUGUUCGGAUUCAUUGGGCGUAAAGGGUGCGUAGGCGGCGCGGUAAGUCGGGUGUGAAAUCUCGGGGCUUAACUCCGAAACUGCACUUGAUACUGCGGUGCUCGAGUACUGGAGAGGAGAUUGGAAUUUACGGUGUAGCAGUGAAAUGCGUAGAUAUCGUAAGGAAGACCAGUGGCGAAGGCGGAAUCUCUGGACGAGUUACUGACAC
rnacentral:rRNA from 1 species